CCUACGGGAGGCAGCAGUGGGGAAUCUUGCGCAAUGGGCGGAAGCCUGACGCAGCGACGCCGCGUGCGGGACGAAGGCCUUCGGGUCGUAAACCGCUUUCAGCAGGGACGAGGACCUCCCGGUGACGGUAACUGCAGCAGAAGCCCCGGCUACCUACGUGCCAGCAGCCGCGGUAAUCGGUGGGGGGAGACGGUUAUCCGGAUUCAUUGGGCGUAAAGCGCGCGUAGGCGGCCUGUUAGGUCGGGGGUCAAAUACCGGGCCUCAACCCCGGGCCUCCCCCGAUACCGGAAGGCUUGAGUCUAGAAGGGGAAGGCGGAAUUCCCAGUGUAGCGGUGGAAUGCGCAGAUAGUGGGAAGAACACCAGUGGCGAAGGCGGCCUUCUGGGCCGCGACUGACGCUGAGGCGCGAAAGCUAGGGGAGCGAACAGGAUUAGAUACCCUUGUAGUC
rnacentral:rRNA from 1 species